rnacentral:rRNA from 1 species
AUACGUAGGGAGCGAGCGUUGUCCGGAAUUACUGGGCGUAAAGGGCGCGUAGGCGGCGCUUCAAGUCGUCUGUCAAAUGGGAGGGCUUAACCCUUUUUCGCAGACGAAACUGGAGAGCUUGAGAAGCAGAGAGGCAAACAGAAUUCCUGGUGUAGCGGUGAAAUGCGUAGAUAUCAGGAAGAAUACCAGUGGCGAAGGCGGUUUGCUGGCUGCAUACUGACGCUGAAGCGCGAAAGCCAGGGGAGCAAACGGGAUUAGGUACCCCGGUAGUCCUGGCAGUAAACGAUGUAUGCUGGGUGUGAGACUAGCGAUAGUUUCGUGCCGAAGUUAACGCGAUAAGCAUACCGCCUGGGGAGUACGGUCGCAAGAUUGAAACUCAAAUGAAUUGACGGGG